UACGGGGGGGGGCAAGCGUUUGUUCGGAAUUACUGGGCGUAAAGGGCUCGUAGGCGGCCAACUAAGUCAGACGUGAAAUCCCUCGGCUUAACCGGGGAACUGCAUCUGAUACUGGAUGGCUUGAGUUCGGGGAGGAGGGAUGCGGAAUUCCAGGUGUAGGCGGAUGAAAUGCGUAGAUAUCUGGGAGGGAACACCGGGUGGGCGAAAGGCGGCGAU
rnacentral:rRNA from 1 species